GACGAACGCUGGCGGCGUGCUUAACACAUGCAAGUGGAGCGACGAAGCGGGCUUCGGCCCGUGGCAGAGCCGCGAACGGGUGAGUAACACGUGGGUAACCUGCCCCGAUGACCGGGACAACCCGAGGAAACUCGGGCUAAUACCGGAUGUGGUCUUUCCACACAAGUGGAUCGACUAAAGAUAGCUUCGGCCUUCGCAUCGGGAUGGGCCCGCGGCGCAUUAGCUUGUUGGUGGGGUAACGGCCACCAAGGCGACGAUGCGUAGCUGGUCUGAGAGGACGAUCAGCCACACUGGGACUGAGAC
rnacentral:rRNA from 1 species